GAUGAACGCUAGCGGCAGGCUUAAUACAUGCAAGUCGUGGGGCAGCAGGUUUGUAGCAAUACAGAUGUUGGCGACCGGCAAACGGGUGCGGAACACGUACACAACCUUCCUUUAGGUGGGGAAUAGCCCAGAGAAAUUUGGAUUAAUACCCCGUAACAUUAUGAUGUGGCAUCACAUUAUAACUAUAGCUACGGCGCUUAAUGAUGGGUGUGCGGCUGAUUAGGUAGUUGGCGGGGUAACGGCACACCAAGCCUGCGAUCAGUAACUGGUGUGCGAGCACGACCAGUCACACGGGAACUGAGACACGGGCCCGACUCCUCCGGGAGGCAGCAGUAAGGAAUAUUGGGCAAUGGAGUAAGCUCUGACCCAGCCAUGCCGCGUGGAGGAUGAAGGUCCUCUGUAUUGUAACCUUCUUUUAUAUGGGACGAAAAAGGGUCUUUCUAGGUCAACUGACGGUACCAUAUGAAUAAGCACCGGCUAACUCCGUGCCAGCAGCCGCCGCAGUAA
rnacentral:rRNA from 1 species